UACGUAGGCAUCAAGCGUUUGUUCGGAAUUACUGGGCGUAAAGAGUGUGUAGGCGGUGCUCUAAGUUCGGUGUGAAAUCUCCUGGCUCAACUGGGAGGGUGCGCCGGAAACUGGAGUGCUUGAGCGUGGGAGAGGAAAGCGGAAUUCCUGGUGUAGCGGUGAAAUGCGUAGAUAUCAGGAGGAACACCUGUGGUGUAGACGGCUUUCUGGACCAUAGCUGACGCUGAGACACGAAAGCGUGGGUAGCAAACAGGA
rnacentral:rRNA from 1 species